GGGGAUCCUCCAGCCCCAGUCAAGCCUUCAAAUAACAACAGUCCUUGGCAAAAGCGUAACUGUAACCACAGCUUGACUGAGCCAGAACCACCCAGUCAAGAUGCUCUCAAAUUCCUGUGAGAGGUAACAUAUGUUUAUUGAUAUUUAAAUGACUAAGAGGAAGGGAGCUGGAGAGACAUUGUGGGAGGAAGAGGUUUUUGCUUCCUGGUUCCAGUGUGCUUGAUUGACAAGCUCCUACUGUGCAAACAGCUUUCAGUGCUCAGUUUCUGGAGUAGCCAGCAACACCCAGAGGCUAGCAGCUUCUCCUGGCACUGCCCACCUUGGGCUGUAGCGUAAGCAGAAUGGCUCCAACUUCUGCCUCACAUAGCACCUGUGUGCAUGUGGCUUCUCCUGCAUCAGGCUCCUGCAGCACCCACAGGUUCUCCAGUGCCGGCUCCCGCAGCACAUGAAGACCAACAGGACCCAGUGAGCAGCAGCUUCCCCUGCACCCCACUCAGUUAGCUCUGUAGUGGAAAGUCUCUAGUUCCACACCUCCCUGGGGAAGAGCUUUCCCUGGCAUCCUAGAGGGCAUAUAUCUGGCAAGUUCCACUGGCAUGACAGUACAGUGACUUUUCUGCCACCUAGUGAGCUGUGGGCUGUGCUCUACUCAACAGGCUCUGGAUCUCGGCCCUGGGUGGGGAGAGGAUACCUCUUUCUUGGGUGCUAUAUCUCAGCCUUGGGAGGUAGGAGCUGCACCUCAUGCCAGCUAUUCAUUAUUCCAUAGGGUUCUCAUAACUCCUUACUAACCAAUUCUUUGUUACUCCAAUUCCCUGUUUUAAUAAUCAUAUUCAAAUUUCCUGUUAAAUUACUAUGCGGUUUCUCUCUUGAUCAGACCCAGACUGAUACACCAAGUUUUCUCAUAAUUUGUUACAUGGCAACAGAUAACUAAUACACCACUCCCAUCUGAUCUGCCCACUGCCAAUUCCUUUCAUUACCAUCAGCCGAUUGCUAUCAUGUGCCUGCCCUGAGCAGCCUUUUCAAGGCUUUGAUAAGCAGUCAGGUAUGUCCUACUGCAGGCAGGCUGGGUACAGUGGCUCAAACCUAUAAUCCCAGCACUUUGUGAGGCCAAGGCAGGCAGAUCGCUUGAGGUCAGGAGUUCAAGACCAGCCUAGCCAACAUGGUGAAACCUGGUCUCUACUAAAAAUACAAAAUUUAGCCAGGCAUGAUGGUGCACAUCCAUAAUCCCAGCUACUUUGGGAGGCUGAGGCAGGAGAAUUGCUUGAACCUGGGAGGCAGAGUUUGCAGUGGGCCAAGAUCGUGCCACUGUACUCCAGCCUGGGCAAUAGAGCAAGACUCCAUCUCAACAACACAAAAAAAUAGCUGGGUAUGGUGAUGGGCACCUGUAAUCCUAGUUACUUAGGAGGCUGAGGCAGGAGAAUCGCCUGGGGAUGCAGAGGUUGCAGUGAACCAAGAUCACGCCACUGCACUCCAGCCUGGGCAACAGAGUGAGACUCCGUCUCAAAAACAAACAAACAAACAAACAAAAACAUAUGUCCUACUUCAAAAAAGAAUAAAAGUACAAAGUAUGUAAGAUUCAAGCUUUAAUUUGCCAAAUGCCAAGUGAGAGUUCAGAUGAGAAGCGCUGCAGGAUGCACCAAAGGCUGGUAUGCUUGAAAAAAGAUCUCGGCUGCAGUGGGACGUCAACGUUGAUGACACUAGAAGGCACAGUCCAGUGGGAAGAAGAGGGAAGGCCAUUCUAGCACUCUAAGCAGCAGGAAAGUUGUAUCAAAAGUAGGCCAGGUGCAGUGACUCAUGCCUGUAAUCCCAGCAUUUUGGAGGCUGAGGCAGGCAGAUCACCUCAGGUCGGGAGUUUGAGACCAGCCUGACCAACAUGAAGAAAUGCUGUCUCUAUUAAAAAUACAAAAUUAGCCGGGUGUGGUGGCGUAUGCAUGUAAUCCCAGCUACUUGGGAGGCUGAGAGGGAGACUCGCUUGAACCCGGGAGGCGGAGGUUGCGGUGAGUCGAGAUUGCGCCAUUGCACUCCAACCUGGACAACAAGAGCAAAACUCUGUCUCAAAAAAAGAAAAAAAAAA
ensembl:lncRNA